rnacentral:rRNA from 1 species
GAUGAACGCUGGCGGCGUGCCUAAUACAUGCAAGUCGAGCGAACAGACGAGGAGCUUGCUCCUUCGACGUUAGCGGCGGACGGGUGAGUAACACGUAGGUAACCUACCUAUAAGACUGGGAUAACUUCGGGAAACCGGAGCUAAUACCGGAUAAUAUUUCGAACCGCAUGGUUCGAUAGUGAAAGAUGGCUUUGCUAUCACUUAUAGAUGGACCUGCGCCGUAUUAGCUAGUUGGUAAGGUAACGGCUUACCAAGGCAACGAUACGUAGCCGACCUGAGAGGGUGAUCGGCCACACUGGAACUGAGACACGGUCCAGACUCCUACGGGAGGCAGCAGUAGGGAAUCUUCCGCAAUGGGCGAAAGCCUGACGGAGCAACGCCGCGUGAGUGAUGAAGGUCUUCGGAUCGUAAAACUCUGUUAUUAGGGAAGAACAAACGUGUAAUUAACUGUGCACGUCUUGACGGUACCUAAUCAGAAAGCCACGGCUAACUACGUG